rnacentral:rRNA from 1 species
UACGUAGGGUCCAAGCGUUGUCCGGAGUUACUGGGCGUAAAGCGCGCGCAGGCGGUGGCGUUAGUCCGGCGUGAAAGCCCCCGGCUCAACCGGGGAGGGUCGUCGGAGACUGCGUCACUUGAGGUCGGCAGGGGCCGGUGGAAUGCCCGGUGUAGUGGUGAAAUGCGUAGAGAUCGGGCGGAACACCCGUGGCGAAGGCGGCCGGCUGGGCCGUACCUGACGCUGAGGCGCGAAGGCGUGGGGAGCGAACGGG